AUAUAAAUACAUAGCACUGUGGGUGAUCACCGCUCCGUUCUGUUAGUCGUAGUGUUUAUCUUGCUGUGGCUUGUUUUACGACUUCUCACAAAAAUAAUAAUUUUCAUUGUGUUUACAGCCAUUUCAGCGUCCGUGAAUACGCUAUGCCAUUUGGAAUCUCCAUCAUAAAUAUUCCAAAUGAUAUUGGCCGCCUGCGUGCAACAAAAUAAGAUGCAGGAUUACUGUACUGACAUUCACUGCUCGGUAAACUCCUUGUGGAAUAGUUAUGAGAUUUCCUCUGAUGGGUUUGAAGAGCAAGUUAAUAAGCGAGCAUCAACAUAACCAGAAUAAAAAAAGAGCGGAUGUGGGAUGGCCAUUUUAAAUUGGUUUUAUCAGAGGUAGCCUAUCUUUGUAUUUGCCGGCUCGAGUAUCACUGAUACUGCGAGUCCGGCAUCGCAAACAUUGUGAUAAUCUUUUAUUAAGGAAGAUGCAUGGCAGUACAUUUUAAGUCUAAAAAGGGGAAAAGUUAAUGGAUCAGCAUAUUCGUUACAAUCAUCCCAAACAUCUUAACCCUCCCUGUCACCUGACAAACAACUUGUCAUAUGGAACAUAGACAGCCGUGAUGUAACUGAAAAAAAAACGUGCAAAUCCAAACAAUUUCAACCCGAUCUCAAACAUCACGUGCUGCGUGUCCAAUGACAGAGGCUCUAUGAGUCAACUCAAGCAUGAAGAAAAAAAAACAGAUCCAUAUCUAAACAACCUUUUUUUUGGGGCUUAAAUCAAAGACAGGGCAUUUAAAAUCCCAUCAUGAACAGAGAUCCAUAUCUGCUUGGGCAGAGAUGCUCAGCAUAGAGCCAUACAUCAGGGACAACAUGCUUGCCCAGCUCGAGCUCGGGGGCCGGGCCGACGACUUGACGGAUGAGGGAGUAAAGGGUUUGAAUGUGCAGACUAAUGAUCCCGCCGAUUGGCCCGGACUUCAGCAAAACACUUACGUCAACCCCGAUGCUGUGACCAUUUCGUCGGCCUGCCAGGCGAAAUGCUCCUCGGACCGCUCUCUGAGUGCUCAGAUCCUAUUUCUAAAAGAAACAGCUGGAUCCUGCUCUAGUUUUGUUGGAGUCGACAACAGCUGUGUGCGAGCGGAGCCGCCCCGCGCAGAGCUUUUUUAACAAGCGUGUUGGAGGGGGAAAGAGAAUGCCCUAAUGCAGGUUAAAAUAUUGUUUCCAUGGAAACAACACUUUCCACACAACCAUUCAAGAAAUAUAUCCUUGAGGGCUGAAUUGUAAAGGCACAGAGUGUAAGUGUGCUUUGUGCAUUAUUAUAUAGCUGUACUGCAGCUGGGGUUGACUGCCCUUCGUUUAGAGUUCCUACCCAUGGGCCUUAAUUGGACUCCAAUACUUGGAAGCUAUGUAACUUGUGAUAUCAUUUUUCAGUUAGAAAUAAAGCACCGGUUCAGUCUGUCUGCUGGUGUGCGUUCUUUGUCCUUGUAGUUAGUUUCAUAAAUCUAACCACCGUCAUCCAUCUGGAUAACAGUUUUACUUUGCAGGCGGAUUCAAGCUGUCCAAUGAUUUAUAUGUGAUUUAAAUUGACAAACUGACGCUGACAGGGAGCACUGCGAUACAACAAGUCCGCAUAUAAUUCCCUAAUUGUGUUUGUUUUUGUGGCGUUCCCCGGUUUGUGUUGACGCCAAAAUCCCACACGGUCCACACUGCGCGAUGCCCAGAGCCACACAAAGAUCAGUCAAACUGAGAUUUCAGUCAGGCUUUGAUUUGAGGCAGUACGGCUUUUGAGAUUUGAGAGUCCAUACAUAACCCCAAUCAGUGGAUUUGACCAAAUUUGUCAUUCGACAAAUAGACUGAACCAAUGUUUUUCAAAGCUGUCCUGUGCUAGAGAGGAACUACACGCCGUCUCUCCGCAGCGUGCACGGCAAUGAGUCAAAGCGUAGAAGUUGUUACAACCGGACCUGAACCCGAAUGCACAAUUCAAGAAGCAAAAGUUCCAAAUCAAAGUUCACUUUCCAAAACGAUGGCUGCAAAAUGAAAGGAAAAAGAGGCUGAUGAACAUGCAGCUCCAGAAAUAACCAAAACCGAACAACUGAUCGUGUCAUGAUCUGACUUUGCUUGGAGGUGUGUUUUGAGUUUCAGAAUGGGUGAGCAGGUUUCCCCCGGUUACCUGGGCGGAAUCUGGAGGCUGCCAUUGUCAGGAACCCUUCUUAAGGAGCAGCAGGAGCCCCAGUCUUCGUCAGAUUAUUUUCUCCUCCUUGUGGUAACUUGGCCAGCUCGCACCAGAGUUUUGAUUAUCAACGAAAGUUUUUGUGCCUUACCUUGUCUCCUUGUUCCAGCCUCGUUCCUCCAGGGUUUGACGGAUUCCCUGGCUUCCCUUCUCACCCUCCGCAACUCGGAAAACUCCCUCCAGCCAGUCGAGUCGCUACCUCUCCCUCCAGUGUUGUUUCCACCAGAUCACAUUGCUCCUGCCGCCCGGACCCCUACCUGUUUUCUCCAGCAUUCCCCCGGCCACGGGUUCAGCGCUGCUUAUGAAAACCCCACUUCUGUCGAAAUAAAAUCCUUUUUUUUGUCCAUUGAAUCCUGCUAUUGAGUCCUACCUUUGUUUUGGCUGUCACCCCGUGACAGAUCGGACCACUUUCUGCACUUUCCCACUUCCGUGUUUCGGGUCCGGGCAUCUUUACUUAGUGCCACUUCCACUGUUCUAACAUGACACCUUACACAGAAUCCAAAUACACACUCCUCUAAAAAUAUUUGAAUCUAUGUAGCUUUGUGACGAGAUGGCACUAUUCUUUUCCACUGCCAAAUAAAAAAACAAAAAGCAUUAUGCAGGUUGCAGAGAUCAUGCAGCACCAGACUGGGCCGACAUUUUGUUGAACAUUGACGUUCUUGAGGAAUCCGCUCCUUCUCCCCUUGUGAAUACUAUUCAUAACUUGAAUAGCGGUUUAAGCAUGGAUGAUCCAUUAAUUGACACGUGACUGCAGCAUGUAAAUAAUGCAGUCUACGGCCAUGUGUGUUUUUUUUCCUUCCUGAGGCGGGGCGGCUGUUGCUCACAGAUUAAUCGGAGGAGAUGACGCGUCCCAAAGUCACCUGCCUCCGUUGCUGUGAGCAAAGUCCUCAAGUCGCCCUCGCUUUCACUUAUACAAACCUUUUUUUCCUGUCCUGUGGACACUUGCCAUAUAGACCCUACGGCGUGCCGCAGCUGCACACAUCUGCCUCCCGCCUCCCGCUCAUUAAACUGCUUUCUUUCCCGUUAGCCCACAGACAGGAUGGGUGCUUAAAACUAAUCCCACACCCAGAAUCAGCCAUUUACAUAAUGCAGAAGACAGCGUGGGCGGAAUGCAAUCUGUUCGCUACCUGGCUGCUGAAGGUGUGUCGCGGUUGUUGUUGGAAAUGGCAUGCAGCGCUUUUUGUAUUCAUGCUGCGGACACUCGCUUCCUCUGGCUGCUUCGGCGAGCGGGGAACAGUGGGUUACUCCGAGGUGUGGAUGUGAGACCUGUGGUUGACUGCUGGCCGGGGUGCUUCCGUGCCUUCCACGCGGUGUACUCUGGGGUGUAGGCCGACCCUGGAAAAAAAGAAUAAGUGGGUUUUCAAAAAUGGAUGAAAAACCUGAAAGCGUAGCGUGGCGGGACGAGCGUCCAGGCAGGCGUCUGGUUGUCCGCUCCGCUCUGCCCGGCCUGUCUUUGCACUGAGGGAGGGAACGUAAGCUCCACACUGAAUGCAUGAGUAAACCCAAAAUCUAUGAAUGGGUACGUUGACUGAGCGCUGAUUUUCCUCACCUUUUCCAUGAAUUAUGUGAGCUCAAACUUUCGUUUCAUUUCAUUGCCUGCAACCAGGCUGCUCCAGAACCUGCAGAAUGUUUUAAUUGAUAGAUUCAUUUUUAGCACCUACAUGACAGAUUCCGAUUUUCAUAUUCAUUCUUGCUUUUUCUCUGAUGUCAAUUCAACCAGCGGAAAGAACAACAAAAGGUGUUAACAAGUAGCCUACAUUUUCAUGUAAACAUAUUGAUUUGUGUAUUUAUCAUGUGGAGCCACACACACCGAGCUUCCCCUUUUUGAUGCUCACUUGCUUUGAUGCAUUCCAUCAUUCAGGUCUCUGAGGUUGGGAAGGAUCCAUAGUUUCCAUUGGGAAUCAUUUCUUGUCUGAUCAUUUGCUGAGUAAACAGCCAUUCCUUCCAAGCAGCCCAUUAUGACCAAAGACAAGGCCAAACUGUGUAAAAAUCAAUUCAUCGAAUCAGGUCAAUGUAAAGCACAUUAUCUCUGCUGGCAAAAGAAGAUGCAAAGUAUGGCUUUUAUUAUUGAACCGCUUUAGCAAUAUUCCCCAAGUAAUAGCAUUUAAUGUCGUUUUAGUGGACUACUACUGACCGUUAUCAGCAGCUUUCUCUGAAUGAGCAAACCGAAUACAUUAUGUAUUUAGGCACUAGCUGCUGUUGUUUGGAAGUGGGUCAUGCGGUGUGCUGGGCUCCGACCAGGGAGGACACCGCAUGUUAUUACCAGAACCAUCACAACCGUACAGGCGUUCUAACCGCGCUCUGUGGCCUUUACAUGGCUUCAUUCGUUCACAGUGGAACCCUCACAGAGCAGAACCCUUUGGGGUUCACCAUCACAGGGGGAAUGAAUAGAUAGAGAGGGAAUUUCUAAGAAGGUUAUAAUACAUCAAUAAACAUAUUUUAAUCCAAACAAGCUGCUAUUUGUAAGUAAGUAAAAGGAUAACUUUGUUUACAUGAUUUUUAGGUGACAAUAAAAAUGAGCCUUAUUAACCAACUUAGACAAAAAAAAGGGAUAAAUAUCUACCAAUUUGGAUCAUCAAUGGUAAUUAGUGAUCAGGGAGCUCUUCGGGCUCUUUUGCUGCCUUUUCUUUCUCUUGGUCCGAGCGGUGACUCUUAUGAUCUCUAUCUCCCACUUUUCACUGUGCAUUUACUACCAAUUUCUGCUUUGCUCCGAUUGCCAACACACGUUCCGCCUCGCUGACUCGCUCCCUCUCUAAAGCUGCCAGACAGAAUUGAUUGAUCGAGGCAGCUCAUGGAGUUGAUGUGUAACAAUUUGGUGUGAAUUGUGUAUGACUGCACAUGUUUUUAUUGAUGGUUAUCGGUUGGAAUAUUGUUGCUGACGCAAAUAGUGUUAGCAGCAGCUUUCAGAUGUGUGGCACAGUCCAAUUAGGAACUUCCUGGAUGUGUCUAACCAAGACACAUGUUGUUUUACCAAAAACACACCCCACUCUGUUUAAAACACACCUCACUUGUGUACAGUGACCGCAUUAGAAGAGUCAGGGCUCGGCUAAAAGUACCCCAUAAGAAGUCAACUGAUAGUUUCAGAGGGGAAAAAAAUAAUUUUGUAAACAUGAUCUAGUAGAAACACAAAAUCCACGCUAUGGACCUGGAAAAGAAGGGAAAAAAAAUCAUGUCCCUUGUAAAUAAAUAAAAAAUCCAGUAUCUCCAAAUUGGCCGGUGGUCUGUUUGAGUGUGUGAUGUUUCAGUCACAACAGCAGUACUUCCUGUUUCCUUUGAUGUUGUUCUCUUAGAUGGCAUGCUGUGAGCUAAACUUUGAUGCAACUUCAUUCCUGAGAAAGAAACCAUUUGAUGUUUUGAUUAUGAUGGUGGUAAGUGGUCUCUGGAGCAGACUGUGGGUGAGUGGGGAGCACGGUCGUCCUCCAAUCAGAGGGUUGUGGGUUCGAUCCCAGGCCCGGCUAACCCGCAUGUCGACAUGUCCUUGGGGGAGACACUUAACCCAACAUUGCUCGGAUGUUAGUGGAUGUUAGUUACUGAUGGGCAGGUGUCACUGUGUAUGGUUCUCCUGUCAUCAGUGUAUGAAUGGGUGUGAAUGGGUGAAUGAUGUCAUGUAGUGUUGAAGCGCUUUGAGUGGUCACAAUUACAGGCCAUUUACCAUCAAGAAUGUACUGUAUAGAACUUUAGUGGAAAACAAGUACUGUGUGUUGACCCACUGAGCCAGCUGCCAUGUGCACAGAUUACUAGUCAGUUUGCUGGAAACUGUGUGUUCGCUUAACCCACUGUGAGGCUACCACUGCUCCAGAAAGCAACACUCGUAUUCUAUUUUUACAGUUUUAGUGUUACUUCGAUUACCCGAUUGCACAAGCUCUCCCUUUUCCACCUUCUAUGUUCGAUAACCUGAUCAAUUGUAUUUUGGCACAUCAGUUACUUGUCAGGACUACGUGAGCACCAACUGCGUCUGUGUAGGUUUUUUUUUACAUUUCAGUUCAAUUUAAAUGAUCAAUUUACAGAACCAUUUCAUGCAAUAGUUGUCAAUCCUCCACCUCCGUCCCCGUCUCUCUCAAAAUCUCAAGCGCACACAGUGAGCAAGUAAUUUAUUAUAAAUAAUUUUGCUUUAAUCCAUAUGUGUCUGCAUUUGCACUUUCAAAUCCGCUAAAUCCAAACACUGAUGCUUUUGAUGUCAAUGUCAAAAGCUUUAUUGGAGAUUGGUGUGUGUGUUUGUGCACGUGCAUCAGCACACAGCUCCUUUUGAACUCGCAACAUUAAUUGUCACUUUGCGCAGUGAAGUCCUGACAACGGUAAGUGAAUUAUUGACAUUAACAUGACAAAAGUCAAUUUGUACACCGAACUGUAGAUUUCUUAAUUUUGCUUCCUACAUCCGCCGAAUUCUAAAGCCUCGGUUGGUUCCGAUCAUUAAUGUCAUAGCUGACUGGUUGCCGGCUAUUUGGUCUAAUGGCUGAGUGACAUGGUUUAUACCCGUUAAUUAUAGAGAGAUUAUUGCCCGCCUCGGCGGUUCUGCAGAAAGCCGCGUGGGGGGGGGGGUGUACCAGCGCUGUCAGCUCUUUCUGCCUCAGGUCUCUGAAUUGGCAGCUUCAUUGGUUGUUAGGUGCAACCUAUAGAAAGCCUCUUUCUCUCCCAGUAGAACAGUCAAGCCGCUCUCGCCGCCUCGGCACUGUGGCUGCCCAUCGCCGGGAACGACGCACUCUGGUUGACACGGGACGCAGCUCAUGUGACAGGAAGUGAGACAGUACUUCAACGAGUCCCACAUCACGGGUAUUGGUGGAUUAAGUUGUUCCUGUGAGACAAUAAAGGCCAGACAGAUCGGCCAUAUAUUACAUUUCAUGGACAUUAUUUUGCCGUUGAGCCUUGGCGGAGACAAGUGGGAGGGGGCAGGAUGCGACACACCCGCAAAAAUGCCGGCCGAGGCCCUGUACAUGUUCAAGGUUGAUCCACCUCCUUGGGGACCAUUAGAAACAACCUUUCAAACGGCCUGAUUGGAAAGAGAGGCGCUCUGCAUAUCAACAGGAAGUAGCAUCCCCAGAGGUUGGCGUGAAGAGAAAAGGUGUGAAGAGGAGCUGACGGAGGGAAGAAGUGCGAAAAUAAAUGAGAGGUGAGGUAAGAUGCAAAUGAAAAAAAGACAAAUAAACAGAUACCGCAGAGGAAGUGAUUUAGACACAUUUAAGCUUAUUUAAGGGGAUUAGGAAGAGCGGUUGUGAGGGAGGAGGCAGGUAAGAAAGGUAGGAAUCACUUCAUCUUCAACAUACAGAAUCAAACAAGGCCAGCGUGAAGGGCCACACUUCACUUCACUCAAAUUACUGGCAAUGAACUACAUUUUUUUUGACGUUUGGAUUUGAUGCAAGUACGCUAAUGACAUCUAUAUACAUCAAUUAUAAAGUGUCCCAAAUUGCAAUCCACAACAUCAUAACUGGUUGUAUUGUAAUAUUGUGUGUAAGGGUUGUGUAAAAAAAUAUGCUACGUAUAAAUAUUAAUAAUUAAGUAAAUACUUGGGCAAAGGUUGGAUGAACGUUGGUUUGCAAACAUAUCAUUAGCACUGCAGGGGAUAAAAGGUCUAUGAUAUUUGCAGGUAUUUUUCCAUUUAGACACAUCAUUUCAAGUGAGAAGCUUUGAUAUUUCCUCAUAUUCGCUGCACCAGAAGUAGCCGUCUGAUCAGUGCGCUUCCUUCCUCGCCGCACUGAUUCACCUCAAACAGACCUCUGUGCCUAUUUUUAAUACAGGUCACACAACGGCCUGCUAAAUGGCAUAAGAUAUCCUCGUCUGAAGCUUCCUACGCCAUUUGAAACGGGGAAAAGGCAAAGAGCAGCGGCGCCGCCUUUUGCUCAGCAGUCACAAUAGAAGAGAAAAUAAAUAAUGGAGAGAUGUAACUUAAUGAAGACAUCUGCAGCCAGAGGCCGACACCGCCGCGCUGUGUCACAGCAAAAGGGUGAAAUAUCACCUUCGGUAGGAGGAAAGUGAAUUAAGCAACUCACACAGCAGACCUGAAGAAGAAAGAGUUUGGGAGGUAUUGGUUCAUCUAUCAACACCAUCUCGCUCUCUCUCUCCAAGGUGCAGGAGGAAGGAAAAAACCAUCAGUCACCAUUUUUAAACAACACUCUCUCCAUCUUCGUAACGGCUUUACUUCAUACGUCUACUGAGGAAUCUGUGGGGGAGGGGGCAGGAUCAUUCGGGGUCAAUCUCAGAAAGCGGACAGAGGGGCUCGUCUCGAAAGGAAAGAAGAAAGUGCAACAGGCGGAUCGGAGUCAGCAUAUCGACGGCGCGAUGGAUUGGGAGAGGGCGUAAAGACCUCCUUGUGAAAAAAGCCUUGUGUAAAAGUGCAUUGAGUCAGCAGGGUUAUCGCGCCGCUUUCUGUCCAGGCGCACGCGCUUACGGGGCCAACGAGAGAGAACACACGGCCGUGUGGAGAGUUUCAAUGGAGACACAAGGAAGGUGUGGUAGCGUGAGCUUCCUCUGCAUCCGUCCUCUCUGCCCAAAUAAGAGCCGGGAGGCAGCAAUGCACGCACUAAAACCUGUGAUCGACUGCAGCAUUUGUAUUCUCCCUCUGAAAUGUGCCAGGAUUCAUCAGUCCGUGCAUAACACCGAAUCAUUUCCCCAAACGGUAGGUAAGAAAUAUUCCGGUAAAUAAAGCACACUAUAACCAUGGGCCAGACAAAAUAAAUCAAACUCCUGAGUCUGGAAUAGAGGAGAGACUGACUUGUGGCUUCAGGCCCUGAUUGGACUACAAAACAGAUUAUUUGAGGGGCACAGAGAAUGCCACCCAACCUUUCGCCAAAGCUUCUAGCAAAAGAAAACAACCACAAAGGGUGCCACGCUUUUGGUUAUUAAGCUAAAUUUACGGAGCAGAGGGUUGUACAACGUGACCAGGUAACUCUGUUCUUUUGGCUUAUAACACAACUGUGUGUACUCUCGGCCAUCCACAUAGACCACAGCGUAUGCGUAUAUGUGAUUGGCUGUUUUACAGUAAUAUAAUAGUUUUGUUUCUGUGGAUGAAACCUUGAGGCAUCUAAGGACGCACAUCCUCUAGAGGCACAGAGUUAAAAAGACAUCCAGUGCUCGGCCUCGGCCCCAAUGGGCAAUGUGAGUUGGGGAGGGGGGGUUGUGACAGCCUAGAAUUAAUUGACAUGCCUCCGAGUGGUUGUUCUCUAAUAACAUAUUGAUCCACCAGGCUUGAUAUGCAAAGCAUCUGCCAGGGAGUGUCGCUGGCGAGGUGAGACAAAUGCCCUCAGAAUACCUUCUUUUGCACAGCCGCGUUGAUUAAAAGGAAGCAUUUGAGCCUGUGAUCACAUUACAUUACAUUACAUGUCAUUUAGCUGACGCUUUUAUCCAAAGCGACGUACAAUAAGUGCAUUCAACCAUAGGUUCAUCACAUGGUACCACAUGAUGGAACCACAUGGAACCGCAUGCUACAACCUGUUCUCAUUAGCACAUGACAAAUGCCACAAGCUGUGGCGUCAAUCACAAGAAGUCAUUGACAAGUUCAAACCUCCAGACUGGAGGUGUUGUAGUUGUUGUUUUGCUCGUGGGUCUUAAGAGGAGACAAUGUUCGCUUCGCUGCGGGCAAAUAAAUCUUUCUAAUUCUUGAAAUUCUAACCCUACUAAGCAGAACAAAGGCUCGCAGAACCUACCGAAGACUACACCCAACCCAACCCAAACGUGAUGGUCACAAAACCGCUAGUAACCUAAAUCUCAACGGCUUUUUUCUUCUGCAACCCAAUAUUUUCUUUGAGAAGACUGGCCAAAAGGAAGGAAAAAAUAAGGACAAGUGGCCCACGAAAAGGGCUAUUGACCGGGACAUCCUUUAUGUGGCACGCGUGAGGUCGGAGCGGGGCGGAAGACUGCCCCGAUCGUUUGUAUUUUAAAUAAGGGGAAAAAAAGAAAACCAGCAACGCCACCCCGGGAGGUAACCCAGGGAAAAAGAAAGAACAAAAAUCUAUGAAUAAAGUAAGUUUCUAAAUUUAAGCAAAAGGACAACACAAGUUCGCUAUACUGAGCAGGCGGAAGACGUGUUUCCAAAAGAAAUAUACAAAGUUUAUUUCAACCACAAUAGAAACAAUUAAAAUCUGUCAAAAAGGUUACCGUGUUUUUCCAGGGCUGGGGGCCUUCGUGCUCAAGGUGAGUGAGGGGUGGGGGGUGAAGGUAUAAACUAAAAAUGGGAGCACCACAAUCCACUCUUUAACACUCCAAAACACACACAAAGGAAAAACAAAAAGGGAGUGAAUAAGACACUACACACGAGGGGACACCAUCACCAAAAAGGGUUCACCAGUGAGGCACUCAGCACCUGGAAUUACAAAGAGGGAAACCGUCAAAUGAGAUAUAUAAUAUAUUCAAAAACAAGAAUUUACAGGUUCAAAAGACAAAUCCAAAAAGAAUAUCAAAUGAUACAGGGUAAACGCAAGAAGACUAAUCAAUGAUCACAAUAAUAACAAAAAUAAUCCAGGAAAGUCUCCCUUGACAUCAAUCCACACAAAUCAGCAACGUCCUUAAAAAGGGUCAUUUUAUCCCCAUAAAAAGAGUUUGUUUUAAACCUAUAAAAAGUAGGUUUGUUCUAUCCCCGUAAAAAGCAGCAGCAGUCCAAAAGCAGUACGGUUCGGGAUAGCCGGAUGCCGAGCCCUCAGUGUGACAUCGCUCCAGCACCGAAAGGGAAACUAUCCGACACGCGCCGUCCAACCUGCCACCGCCUGCACUAUGGUACACAAUUUUGCGCCACACCAAAGACUGCAGAGCGUCUGCAAAAACCUGCAGCCAGGCAACCCGGAAGCAGAAAGUUCGCACCCGCCGCCAGAGAGAGAGAGAGCGCAGAUCUACCAAUCCCUUCUUAUAGGGCAGAUAAUUAAAGGGACAAGACCGCGAAUGCGCCAAGAGCAGUCGUCCUGCUACAUUUACAAGAGCAAGGUCCUCCGAAAAGAUCAAACAUGACACUCUCCUCUAAAUGAGGGCAAGGUCGCCAUGGGUGAGGGCUCACUUAGGCAGAGGGAUUGUUUUGGUGAACUCGGCCGCCACGGAAGCGCUCAACGUGACCUUCUCUAAACAAAGACAGAAUACGGAAGCAAACGCUUCGUCCAAUAGACGGUAACCAAUAGGGUCGAUCUUAGAGUCGGUUCUACCUUGGCACGGCACUGGUGUCGGAGGGGAGCAGGUACCAUGCUGUGGAUCAGCACCGUCAGGUUCCUUAUUGUGUUCUGCCUGCAGGAUCUGAGAUGGACCAUAGUGUAUAGUCUAGACCAGCAAUUCCUAAAGUGUGGGCCCCCUGGUGGGCCGCGAAGGUAUUACAGGUGGGCCGCGAGAGGUCAUUUACAAUAAAUAAAGUUUUUUAAUUUUCAAUUUUCAAGUUUGAAAUUAAUAUAAAAUUAUUUAUGAUGCGGCACAUUAGCUAUGUGAAACAUUAGUUGAUGAAGCACAGACAGAUUAAUAAAACAAUAAGGCUCUUGCUCUAAACGGCUGCUCUUGUCCGCCUGUCGUUGUUCAACAAACGGGGCGCCCUCUUGUAGUAUUAAAGUAAAUAUACCGCAUUUUCCGCACUCCAAGGCGCACUUGAAAGGCUUUAAUUUCCUCAAAAAACGACAGUGCCUUAUAAUCCAGAGCGCCUUGUAUGUAUAUAUGGAUCAAUUGGUUAAUCGGUUGAUCCAUACUCGUUGUACACUCGGUCUACGACGGCGAGAUGCUGAGCGGCGUCUCCACCUAACAGCGAGCGCGUAGAAAACUCCUUCGAGCGCGAGCAGAGAUUCUCCUUGGGAGCAACGAAGUUCACGUUCCGCAAGCGAUUAAAUACCUCGCGGAGACUAACUUUUGCUCGCGCGAGACGGACUUUUGCUCGCGGAUGUUUGAUUUUGGUUAAAUUCUUAUGGUCAUUUAAUCAUUAUGUUUUGAUCAGAGUUGUGAUUAAAGGUUUGGGUGGCCCGCAAAAGAUUUUCAGAUUUUAAAGUGGGCCGCGGCAUUCUUGAGUUUGGGAACCUCUGGUCUAGACGAUACUCAUUUAGGUUAGAGUGAUAUAGCAAAUGAAUGAAUACCUCACGUUAAAUUGCAUUUCUUUGUCAUUGUGUUAUAUGUGUAGUACACAGUACCUCCUGCAGAUCUGGUUCAGGCACAGGUAAGUUACCUGUAGCGUCCCAAUCCUCCAAAGCUGAUUAGUGUCGACAAUAGUACCUCGGUCGGAGAGAACCAAGCCCACAUGGUUCAUUUAAAUGGUUUCAUUAAUGCGUAUGACCUUAAGCCUAAUUUAUGCUUCUGCGUUUUCAGAGCGAGUACCCUAUAAGAGCGAGGGAGAUCUCCGCAAACGUCGGUUUGCCGGUCGAGGGGAGCAAAGUUGUGGAGGAAAAUACGGGACAAAUGUAUCCGCGAUGAAAAGCAGCAGUGGCGAUGCGCGGGGCAAUAAAGUGUAUGAUAAAUAAACAAACCAACGACUUCCACACACAAAGACGUGACUCUCUAGGUCAUCUUCAACAAAAAAAACGUUACUCCAUCUAUUGUUCUGGCGGUGAAUUGCUCUGCAACACACGCAAGACUUUUAGAACCAUGAAUUGAAACGAGUGCGUCGACACAACGGUGCGUAAAUACGCAGACGCAGAAGUAUGCGCCAGCCUUUGCUCAACAUGCCUCAGGUGCGUGUAACUCUCUGUUAGCCUACUGCGGGCUAACGUGGGCUAACGUGGACUAGAUAUUCUAGUCAUAAGCCAAACUAACAAAUCAUGUAUUCUCAGUUUAUAUAUUUUAACUUACAAACAUGAUUUGUUUGCAAUGCAAGAAGUAUGCUCUCAAAACAGUUUUUAAAAUUUGCAUAAUAAAGACACAAAUCUACAUUCAUACAUAUGCAAAUCAGUAAUGAAUUUUCCCACAGACCAGAUGACAAAACACAUUUUUAUAAGCUAUUGCAUAAAUAAAGUAACAGUGAGUAAAUAGAAAGGUAGAACUCUGCAUUAGCUGAUGAAAGAUGGCUAUAUGUAACUUCCUCAUAGAACAACCCCAAGGUACUGUAUAUUUGGAUGCUAAAUAAUGAUCACAAAUCAAUCGUUAACUUGUGUUUUCCUUUUGAACACAAGGGAUGGACUGACAAGUAAAAACAUCUAAUUCAACUAGUCAGUGGUUUCCCAAAAUAUGUCUUCUUCUAAAAUUGGUCCAUCAGGCUUUUGCUAGCUGCACCGAAUGACCCAUGAUCGGAACGGUCACGCUUCCAGCUCUCGGUUUCCGCGGCUGUGAUGACAACAAAGAGCAGGCGGCCAAUCUGCCGUCCGCGGCUGGGGUACAAAAGCCUCGUGAAUCAAAGUCUCUCCGCUCCGCACUCCUCCCUUCGCACACAGCUCUCAUUGGACAGCCCUCGCUUCUGCAUUCCGACGUCUUCAUUAUAGUAAUUGCCCGUUGAGUUUUCCUGCAUUAUUGAUGAGCCCACACGAUAAAAAAGAAAAACAAAGCAAAGAAUAUGCAUGCUAAACAAACGCCCUUCGGCCUCCACGGCCCAGUAAUUCUUACGUGUAGUGUCUGGUGGUUAUGCACACAAGCCGUCACCUUUGGGUGCUUCGUCGUUUUCUGACUGGAGAAAUAACCGGAGGUGAAAAGGGAGACAAUUACACACCGUCUCUGUGAUGGCGCGUUACCGCUCGCUUUUGUGGCCGAAGCGACACCGUACGUGUUGCGCUUGAUUUCUUUGCACGUCUGCGACUCUGUGACAGUGAGUCCUAAAGCAGCACUCGGGUCACUGCCCGAAAUCACAGACUCACAGUUGAAUGCAGCUGCAGGGAAACAAUGACUGGCGGGCCAAGGGGCAGCUCAGUGUCCAGAACCAAGACAUUGCGAAAAGAACCCUGCAGAAUAUCAAAAUAAAAAAAGAAUCUGGAGCAGGAGAGAGCAAUUGUGCAGGCAGUUAAUUCAGGACUACUCAAUUGUUUCAUGAAUACAUCUUUCAUCCAUAGGUCUAAAGUCACCAAACGUUGAGAAGCGCAAGAAGUGUUUCACUGCCUCCAGAAGCCUUCUCGCCCUCACAGGGAAUAAUAUUCUGGCACGUACACAGCGACUGCGGCGAGCUGACACUACAUUUGUGUCAGCGUUGCAAUGGAUUCGAGAUCCCGAUGCAACUCACCUGUCAUGCCUCGCGCCGGGCCCCCGUCUGCCAACUCAAAUUUUCAGAAGUCAUAAAAAGUGGCUCUUAUUUAUGCGGAAUGGCGGAUUAGAGCCGAUUGAUAAUUGUUUAUGCCCUCGGCAGUGGUGGAUAUGUGUAUUUCAGGGGAAAAAAAAGAUUCACAGAAAGCCGGGGCUACAAAGAGAAGCAGGCAGCGGCAGGCGGGCGUGCAGGAGUGGGCGGGAGGUUUAGAGACGCGGGAUGCUUGGUAAACAGAGGAGAUGCGCGCCUCCUCCUCUCCCCCCUCCCAGGCUCGGCAGAGACAUCGAGCACGGGUGUGAUGGCGCGGACACACGCAAGCUAUGUGAUCCACAGCAACGGACCACCGGUGCAACCGCCGAUCAAAGGGAACCCGGAGCGGGCAGUCCAUAGGAAUCAUGAAUAUUGUGCACAAAACAUACUAGUUUGCAAUUGCGCAUGCCUUUUUGAAGUAAAGCGACACUAAAAGCUACGAUUAUCUGAUAUGUGCCUGUUUCUCAAUUAACAUCAUCAUUGGAGCGCUGCGACGGCAGAUACGGCUGUGGAGGAGUUUAUUGACGACAUUGACUUUAAAGAGUGCUUUGAAAACAGACGGAAGGAACCAAUGUCCAUGUUCUUAUCCUUGUUCUUAUGGGCUGAUGGAAAAACUGAACCGGGGAAAAACUGGGCCAAAUGCUGGGAAAUUAAUUACAAAAAGGUAAUCAAAAGGGAUUCUUCACAGUUAUUAAUGUCGAGCAUUUUGUCAGAAAUGACCGUAUCAUUCCAUUUCCAUUUUUACACCUCCUGUGGUUUCAUCCAGACGGGGGCAUCUUGAGCCGCUUAGUCCCUGCAGGAGGGCCCAGAGGAAAAAGGUUCACAAACUUCUGAGCCAAUAUAUCAUCUUCAAAAUAGAGCCUCACGGCCACUUUUGCACUGCGUGGAUGCUGCAGCACUCCCGCUACGUCUUGUGUAUUCAAUGUCUUUGACUUUCUGCCAAACACAACAGCAAACAAAGUGUUCUGCUCUUUACACACAGGACAACAUCCGGGAUUAUUUGGCGUCUCUGUGCUGUUUCAGAGAGCAGCUUAUGCGGUGAGUCACUUUUGAGCACAAUGAAUGCAUAUGCUUAACUUUUUUUCCUUUUUCUUGUGGACCAAUAUAAUAUAGAAUUUGUAAUUGAAAUAUUUCCACAAAGAUGCAACACAUCAAUACGUGUAAUGUAUAAGCCUUUUUAUAAAUAGUCUUGUUCCGCUGAUGCUGUGGCACCUCGAUCUGUCUGCACGACGGCGUCCACACUCUGGUAUCAAAUAUUGAAAAAUGACAACUUCCAGUGUCGAUGUAACCGUAUCUUCUUUUCUAUCAAUAGCGCGUGUCUCGGCUCCACCUCAAAGGUCACGGGGCGACUCCAAACGUCUCAGGUGCCGGCAGACUUUGCUAGCGGCCUCACACCCGGCCUCCGAGAAACUGAAGACCGGGUCCCACCGCUGAUCAAUGCCUUUUUCAGCGUGCCCCCCUCACCGGGCACAGAAACCACACGUGGGCGGCCGACUGCCCGCCCCCAAUCCAUCGCUCUCUGUGUAUUUACAGCAAAUGAAACAUGCAGACGGAAAGACGGCCGCUAUCGAUUGGCUUGUGGCUACGCUGUUUUGAGUGACAUUUCAUAAAUGGAGCCGCCUCAUGAAAUAGUAAUGAGCCGAUGGCGAUUAGCAUUUAACUUUAAUAUGCCGUGAUUGAUCAGAUAUUCCAGUUUCACGUGCCCAAGGUUACGUAUACCAAGACAAGCAAAUAAAUCCCACAAACAAUACUGAAACUAUUGUUUUUGCUUUUAAUGCCGCUUAUAGGUCAAUCAAAAACAACUUCUGCCUCCUCGCUGAAGAAACAUCUGGGCAUGAAUACAUCUGUUAAAUAGGAUGCGUUUACUUUUCUAAAAGAAGCGGGUCCAUGUGCAUUGGUGGGUACUUUGGUCACCGCCUACCCAUGUUCACCCAAGGACGCGGUGUAGCUAGUACACACUUAGUAUUCCAGCCCUGCACGCAGAGGGAGAUUGCACCUGUACAAGCUGUUAGGUGAUGUCUGUGUCACUCGGAUGACCAGGAUCUGUAGCCAAGCAUUUCCUUGAGGUAUGGAAUUGGUUGUCUGGGGGAAAAUCUGAUUAGUCACCGCUGACAAUGCAGAGACAAGGAAAUUACUUUCUUGUGCAUAUCAUUAAGGGAAAAUCAAUAUGACGAAUGUGGUGGGGGCCCGGGCCAUUUAUUGUGUCUGAGCUGAGGCCAAGGCGGGCCCUCUUUGCAGUGGCCUCUUGUCAUUCCUUUAAUUUGUUCUUCGCAGAGGGCUUCAGGUGCAUCCUGCCAUUUUCCUCCCCUCAUACGACUGUACGUCUCCGACCUACGACUUAAUUACCUCAAAAUCAAUUGUCUCAUGAGGGAAUUCAAGUGGUACUUCAAGGUGAGACUGCCUCACACAUGACUGCCUAAUGUUUUCAUUACCUGCAGGGGAUCUGGAUUCAAUUCUCGCACCACAAUGGUGCAGAACAAGAAACUCGCCAACAAGAAACGGAACCAACCACUCAACCCCAAAAUAUUCUAUGGCUCAGGUUUUUGAGUACUUCUCUUUUGCAUGUGAAACGUUACAACAAGUAAUUCAAAGAAGUACAAUUUCAAGGACAUGUCGAGAACCGGUUGUGGAGAACUUUUUAAACGGUUUGAUCUUCCUUCUUCAAACUGAGCUGUCGGGGAUUCCGGGCUGAGCUACAAUACUUUUAAAUGAAUUAUACUACAAAAUAGCCCAUUAUCUACAGUAUCAUUAAAUUGAUCCAAAUGUGAAAGCUAUUUUAAUGCAAAUCGCAUGAGUAGCAUUUUCCACCCCAGCUGUGUCUGAGGAUGCUCUGGAUUUAAUAUCCUGUAAUCCACGCAGCAAAGUCCUCCAUACGCUCUCCAACCACUUCUUAUGACUACACCUCCUCUCCGAUCGAGCUGCAUCCGUGUGCACAACCACCUGAUACCUUCAGUGAUUAUCCUGAGAUGCUCCUCCACCUGUCUCUUUAUUCCCUCUGCACCCGUCGCCGACAGCCACAGGACACAAAGCUACGUCAUUCAGCUCUGCUGCUGCUGGCACCACGUUAAUAUCCACAUCUUUAUUUGUUGACCUGUUUACAUGAAGUGCUCUUGCAGCUUGCACUGCCCACAAGCACAGCAAUAAAUUUGAUAUGAAUACGUUUUUUCAAAAAGAAAUUAGCCUUUUUAUUGUAACCCAAUUUUAUAAUAUCCCUGGUACCCUGCAAGCAAAAUAUGUUGUUUUGACAGUGAAAGUGAAAUCUUCCAAUAAAAACGGAUUAGCAUCAACUAUUAUUGCUUAUACAUCUACACACAUGAAAUGGUUUUUCAUUUCAACUUGAAUUAUAUAAUGGGACGGAUAUAAAUCUUUUCAGCAUUUUUCAUUAGUGUGUAAAAUACAAGCUUUUCUCUCAUGAACAGUUAAAUUGUUAAAAGCCACAUAUUAAUAAACAAAUAUACAGCUAAUUUCUAUUAAUAGAACAUUGAUGCUAUUCAUCUGUUCCCUGUUCAAAUAUGUAAAGAAAACAGCUGUAGGAUUUCCCAUAUUCUAUUUCACUCUAUUGAGAAUCUUGUGUAAAAUAUAAUAAAACCACACAUCAUCUUAAAAGAUUAAGAUGAUAUUAUAGACAAGGCAGGGAAGCUGUCAGAAAGACGGCCGACUAUUACAUAGAGCUUGUUCUUGCGAAAGGAAAGAGUUCAUCCUAGAGAUUAAUUGGUUUGAGAGAAAGGCACCAUGUUUCUGGUUCAAGCUAUGACAUUUAGAGCCAACAAGGGAGUGAACUUCAUUAUCAAGAUUUAUGAAAACGAUUCAGGUAGAACAUUCCAUUCACCCGUCCGAUUAUUAAUCCCGUCCUAAAAAGUAAAUUGAAUUAAGUGGCGCAUUAUUCUCUCUAUUUAUAAUGUCCAUAUUAGUUCUUUUAUUGAGCAUCAGUCACUUUUUUUGAAAAGGAGAGGCAGAACACAAAGCACCAAAUGGAAAAUGAAUCGGCUUUGUACUGGGACCUCUUUGUUGGAGUAAUAGCGUAUAAUUGAGGACGGAAGCUCACACUGUGGUUUUCUUUCUCAGCACAGUACUGUUUGUCUCUGUAAAGCCGGCUCUGGCCAUUAGUGCACCGGGGAGAUAAGGAGUUAUUGAACCACUAUUGAUCGCACACUAGGAAAGUCUGGUGAUUUAUAUGUAUAACGUCCUUUUCCAAGGUAAGCAACCAAUAAGUAUCCAAAGGGAGGAAUUUGGUGGUUGCCUGUGUGUUUGUGUUAUGACGGUUCAUCAUGUUUCUUCAUGGCAGUGAGCCGAUGAAGACGAUGCUAAACGAUAGAAUCAAAAACUGCCUUUUUGCAUUUGCAAGAGCAGCUCGUGUAUUAGCAUGCAGUGAUCAUGAAUACACGUGUCAAAAUGUGUAUUCACCUCAUGCUGUAACAGUCCUCCAGUUCAACACUCCUCCACAGCUGGGAACCCGUCAAUAGGUGUGGUAGCAAUGUCAACAUGAACAUUAUAGAGAAUAUUAAAAGAUAGAGUUUCUAAUGUUUUACCGAGGGAGGAGGUGUUUACGAGAAUAUGGAGCCAAAUCCAGGUCAAACGUUUGGUUCAUUUGAAAAACAAAUUUCAAAUGAACAAAGUUUUAUUGUUGAAUAUUGAAAAAUGUCUAUUCAAAAUAAAAAUAAGUGGAUGAAAAAUAUUUUCGGGAUGAAAAUAGUUUUAACUCAGCUCUACAUAUUUUUGGGAAUAAAAAUGUAUUUUUUCAAUCUUUACUUAUAAUAGAGUGAAUAUCAAAAAAUAUAUAUAUAUUUUGGUUGCAGAUUUUAUUUCUUUUUGUAAUUCAAAUUUUAUAUUUUCAGAUUCAAAACUUAUAUUUUCACUGAAGUCACUAAAAUGCUACCGAAUGAAACACACACUAGGACAGACCAACAGCAGCCAUCAGCAUAAUGAAACCAGCAAAUGUGUCCUAAAUUAUCUCAUUUUGAUACAAUAUACAUUAAUGGCAAAUUGAGCCAGACUGUUUUCUGAGCAUUUUAGAAUGUAAAUCAUUAUUUUCUGUCAGACACAAUUCAGUAGAAGAAGCCAAAAUUAACUUUGAUUCAUCUUGGUCCACAUUUGCCAUAAUUUGCCAUCUGUGCUUGUUUAGAAGGGGGUGUCUGGCCGGGGAUGAGAGCGCCUACAAAUCCUCCUCAAAGUGCUGCUUUCAAAGCCCUGGACGGCCCAGGGAGGACUGAGAUGUGGGCGGUUUCCCUUCACACAAAAAGCCAGCAGACUUUCACAUGCGGGUGCCCCUCCCUGACUCAACAGUUGUUUAAUCACCAAUCCUUAAUCAGCUUUCCCCCCACACUUCCAAAGGCAUGCAUCAUUUAGCAAUGACACAUAAUCGGCAGCGAAAAAGCAGCGGCUUUUUGAAGGGAAUCAAAACAAAAAAUCUCUUUUAAUCACAUUGUCGCGUUUCCCUCCAACACACACUGACGCCAGCGUGCUGGACUAAGGCACAGACAACAGGUCUGUGCUGAAGAACCCACUGGCUUCCGUUUCCCAGUUUCAAGGUGAGCAUUACCGUGGAAACAUCAGGCGUCUUAUUACUCAGCUUAGCAGGCUCCCUUAUUAAGGAUUCUGGUUGGAAGCAUCUUCUCUGAGAAUCCUAAUUAGUGGGACUUCAACAAAAGACGGAGGAUUGUGCCAUCUGCCUUACAAAACGAGGAUUCCUCACUAAUUAAAGACACCUAGGAGAGCAGUGGUACCUGGUUAGGCAGGCAAGGUGAGGGAGUUCAUUUGAAAAACCUGCUGUAUGUUCCUCUUUUACGAAGCCGGGUAUGUUUCUUUAAGAAAGCAUUUGUGUGUGUCUGUGUGAGAGAAACCGAUUCUCCUGUCGAGUUGUUGGACAGCUGAAAUAUAUCAGAUAAUAACACAAUACAUCCAAUUUCAAAUAUGAUACAUUCCAUUUUUACCAAAAAGUUAUACAUUUCUAAAAAAUAUUUUUUAAUGUCCAAUGUGGGAUAACUGCGCAUUGCAAUAACUUCUAUUAAACUUAAAUAAAAAAAAUCAAUUACACAAACUCCGUCCUGGAGUGCCUUUUACCGUUAACAUCUUUAUAUGGUGAUGUGACACCUUCCCAGCUACUAGCCAUUCAAAUAAUAACAGGAGAAAACAGAGGUCUUAUUAUGCAAUGAACUGGCCCCAAAAUUAUUUUUCUUGUUCAGGAGCAAAGUAAAUUUACUUAAUUGAUGGCUGUGAAUAACAAUUGUUCCACUUGAAAAAGAUAACUUGUUAGAAUUGAAUUUGUCACAGUGUUCGGUCCUCUCUGCAUGUCAACAUUAAAAAAAGGAGGGUCAGUAACCGCGGCGUCCAUUUAAUGCCCAUUGUACCUCUAUCCAACAGGAGCGCAAAGAAAUCGUUCAGGAUUCUGUUGACAAAUAAGUAACGCACAGGGACAUGCAACACUGUGCUGUACACAAGUGCACCGCCUACCUCCCAAAUGGACUUAGUGGCAUCGCUAUUAUAAUACUAUAAUAGAUGUCAUGUACAAAGGCCCUCCUCUUUCAGUUAUCUUUGGAACAGGCUUAAAGCUGUCCAGCAGACUUGCAAACACACACACACACAGUCACAUAUAUAAUCUCCACCACUGCAAAUGCCCUCCAGACACAGGUUUCAUUUGAACACAUUCAUUACCUUUUAAUUGCCUCUAAAUUGCAAUGUGACCCAUCACAUCAAUAACACUAUCUUUGUAACAGCAGAAAUGCGGAGCAACGCUGGGUCUGCAUGCAAAUAAUUACGUGUGUGUGUGUGUGUGUGUGUGUGUUUCACGUGGAGACGCUUAACUUGUGCAGACAUUUAGACUGUGUGUGUGUGUGUGUGUGUGUGUGUGUGUGUGUGUGUGUGUGUGUGUGUGUGUGUGUGCAGGGUGUAAACAGUAGCCGAUGCUCUGUGCCUUCAGCUGCAGGAGUCAGCUUCUUUGUUAAAGGAGCGGCCAUCAACCCGAUGAAGGUGAAUCAAAACGUGUUUCAUCUCAAUCCCCUCGUAUUACUCGCUGUUGCUCCCCUAAACCUGCACUCCACGUGACUUUCAGGCCGUGCAGAGGCGACAUCCCGCUGACUGAAAACCCUACAAGGAAAUCGCAUUAAAGCGGCAUUACCAAUCACCAGGAAUCUAUUUGCCUUAUUCUCACUAUAAUGUGCAGAGAAUAUGUUGAAACCCGGGAAACUUUUUGCCAGAGUGGAGCCGUACUCCUGAAAAUAAACAAACAGCUCUGCCUGGGUGGUGCAGGCAGCUGUGCAGGGAGAUGAUAAUUCCACAUAAGCAGGUCUCUGAUAUACAAGUUAACCUGUGUGUGAACUCUCAGUACUAAACAGCUGGGAUGCUUGAAGUUGCUUCAACUUUUCAAGCCUAUUGAUGUUAAUACUACUUCUAUAACUAGAACUAAUGGUUCUAGUUAUAGAAGUAAGGGUGGAGUUGGCCAGAAUUCAUGGUGCAGUAGGUACAAUGGCUUUGGGGUCUGGCAUAUUUUGGGCGCAGCCGUAAAAAUCAAAAUGAUUGCGUUGUUCAUGCUCGGGGCAGAGUUGGGCCGUGCUGCUGAACGCUGUGGGGAGAAGGACGGCGUUUUGGUUCGUUCCAUUAAUGGCAUAUUUGCUGAUGCCGUCUGAGCUCAAAUACUUGCAGUGUAUCUUCAGGUGCACAAGACUUCAGGGGAACAAUAUCAGCGUACGAUAAGACACAAAUCGUUGGCUAACCCACCUAAAUAGUCUUUUGAAAGGUAUACAUCUCAGCUGCACCAAUCAGAUGAAACAUUAGGAAUGUGAAGCAUCCAAGGUAUCAGUCAUGUUUCCCGUCCGUGAGGCAAAACGUGCAAUGGUGUUGAGCCAAAGCUUUGGCUUUGCUGUUUAAGAGACCCUAUUGGAUUCCCCUCAGAAGUUGUGAUUCAUCACUUCCUUUGGGAGGAGAGUCGUUCAUGCCCGACAGCAGGAUGUGAUUCUGACGCAGCCAAUUCGUACUGUUUCAAUUACUGGGAUCGGGACCAUCCCCUCCGAGGAGACGCGUCAUGAAUCGUUUUUCUGCCAUGAGAGUAGUUCACUCGCUAUCUCAACGCGUUGUGGAAUACAGUCGGCAUUAGGAGCCUACAUGCAGGUAAGGCCAACAGUUACCUGAACACACAAAAGCAGAUCUAGCGGUUCACAAUUCAGAGAGACAUAACAACAAAAAAAAAACGUCCCAAAAAAUAUGCUGCAGCAGCUUCCGUUCCUGGGCGGGGUAACUUUGUUUUGCUACAGCCAAGCGUGGAGCUGAGAUAACGGUCCCCGAAGCAUUCCCUCAAAUCACACACCGACUCUGAACUCGGGCCAUGUUGUUCAUGCCGGCACUGCAGACCUGUGCUGUGAGCUGCAUACUCACAUGCCCAUUACCUUUUUUGAGCAUCGCUCGCCUCGGAAUUAAUUAAAGUCCAACACAGCCUCGCCUGGAGAGUGAAGGCGGUCCGAGCUGUUGUUAACAGCAAAUCAAGGCCGCAGCACCUUCUCGGAUCAGAGAAAAUUACUCUUAACUGUAAGGCACAAUUAAGUGGCAGAGCGCUCGAGGGUCUGCGGGGAAAUUCAGUGAAGCUACACUUUUCCACUCAGUCUGUCAGCACUCAUAUCUCGGUGUGUGUGUGUCACAGGGGUGACAGACUGGUUGUUCAGGUUGCGAUGUGUUUUGGGGGAUUGCGUCAGUGUAAAGAUGUCGAUCCCAUGAUGCAAUUCUACACAAACUGGCACGAAAAGCGCAUUCUGCCAUUUGGUGAGUUCUAUAUUUUGAGAUUUAGCUCUGCAACUCUGGGGUUAAGAACUGAUUGUUGCGAUGCUCUCAACUUCCCAGGUAUCACCUGUCUAUCGCCAUGUGCAGUGUCAUAAAAUAGUCAAACUACAACUGUCUUUUGACCAACUGAUACCAUCACUUCCCAGGAACUUGAGACUGAUUUUUUGGCUAAGAACUACCAUACACUGAGAGAGAGUGAUCUAAAUGAUUCAUCUUUGAGAAAUCUAUAAAUAAAUGUGGCUGUUUUUAAAUAUCUGUCAUAAAUCAAAUAGGAUUUUUUGUGCAGGAGAAAGUCCGAAUUACACAAAUGUAUAUUGUAUUCUGCAGAAGCUCGGACUGGAGCAGUUGGGGACACGUGUGGCAGUGAUACUACUGUUGAAAAGACAAAGUUAGUACUGAAGAUAAUGUAUGAUUUUAAUGCACACAACACCACAACCCUAAAGGCUCAUAUUUGUUUUGGCCUUUCCUUUCUUCACAAUUCAUCAGUUCUUUGUAAAGUUAUCAAGGCCAAUUGCACUCACUCAUCGUCUAUGGAGAGUUCAGGUUGGAUUAAGAGUUUCUUCUUCAGAGCAUUUUACACCUGCAGUGGUUGAACUUUUUGUUGGGAGCAAGGUGAAAUUACAACACAAACGUCUUUUCUAUGGCUUAUUGCACACAAACUACUCAGCCAGUUAUUUCAUCACUAAUGCAAUGCUGUAAUAAGAUGAUCUCUGUUUGAAUGCACGUUUCCACAUUGAACACAUUUCUCCUGGGGCACAUCGGCGAGCAGCCUUCAGUUUCUGUCCUCUCACGGCUCCCCCUCGCUGCAACAUUUGACAUCAAAAUGAUUAUGACACAUUCUGAGCUUUGCACAGUUUAACUGACUGCUUCACUUUGAAUGUGUGUGGAUUACAGGAUUUCAUUUUAAAAUGCUUUUUAGGGUUUUUGAACAAGUCGAUGCAUCAGCCAAUCAGAUGAACCUUAUGACUUGUGUUAGUUCCUUCUAUUUAGAACAUCCUAAGUAAAAAAGUCCAAAUUAGACACAACACAAACUAUACUCACACAAACCUUUACUGUAAGUAAAUAUCUACUGUUUUAACAAUGAGAAGGAGUCAACACACCUUCUUUUAUUUAUUCCAAGAAAUUAUUCUAUGAGUGCACCUUUUUGGAUGUCAAUCAAGCUGUAACAUUUUAGAAUAACGUGUAUGAAAUAUAUAUGUAUAGAUCUCCAACUGCCAUAUCGAGUGCAUUUAUGAUCCUUCAACCUAUGAGUCUCUCUUCUAUUCCUUUUUGUAAAACCCUGUGAGAAAGGUGCGUUUCAAGGUUGAAUAGAUACUGGACCUGCUUGGAAUUAAUAUGUAGCGUGGGUCUGGUCCACAGCUCAGAUCUUACUCAUAGCAGAGUUAACGCAUCGGUUUCUUUCUAAUAGUGCUUUCAUAAAGGAGAAAACGACUGAAGCACAGUACGCUCGUGCAAGAAACACUGACUGUGAAUUAGCUAGCAAGUGAUCAACCUCAUGCUAAUGUCAUUUCACACAAUUCAACGGCACCAAUAACCAGAUGGCUAAAAUGGAUUGAAAACUAAUGCACUAAGACAAUUAUUUAAUAAAAGAUAGUACCACUGUCUUCAUUUCACAGAGUGGACACUAUCCAAGCCCUUCAGUCGGCUUAAGCCUCGGCCACAUUAGCUGAUUACCCGUUUAAGUCUCGCUUGGAUCAGCAUUCAGAUCGAUGAUCAGCUGAAUCAUCUUAAAAAUGAAAGCUCAAAAUGAAUGUCGCGAGAUUGUUGAUGGAAAAUUAGUAAUUUGGGCAACUUCCUGGUGGGAUAUUACUUUGUAGAAAGGCCCUAAGCGAUUAACUCCUAUGUCUAAUAUUUCCGUAGUUGCUUCAGCCACUUGCACACUUAAUUACUGCAGUCUGUAUUCCACUUCUACAUCCAGCUGCUCUUAGAAAUCCUCUGAUAUCAGUUAGACUGCACUUGCCUGAAUGUUUAGCCGUAGUUCGUGGUUACUUACACCACGGCGCACCCCACCCACCCUCACGCCCUCCACACACACACUCAUCGCCACCAUGACUAAGUAGGCAGCUGAAUAUUUUAUUCAUCGAGCGUUCUUGUCAUCAUGUAAGUCUGGGGGAAAAGAAAAAAAAAAGGCAAUGCCGGAAUCAGGAAUCAUGAUCCAGGAAGAGUGAUAAAAAGGAGGCUAUAUAUAGAUGACAAAUUACUAUCCCAGAGAAAAACAGCUUUUUUGAAUAUUUCAUGCGACAGACCUUCACUUUUCUGGUGGAGAGAAAGAAGAAUUCCCUGCAUUCGUCAGGAAAAGUUCAAAUAUAGAUCAGUUAAUUACUCCCUUGUCCUUGCGAUGUGCGUUCUGUAGAUCCGGUAACUCAAUAGAGACGUGGUCUGUCGCGCACACACACACACAACUACACAUCCUGCAUACUGCACCUUCUCCUAUUCCAUUGUUUUUCAGAGUGUUUUUCCUGCACGUCCCUCAAACAGAAGUAAAGACUCUCCUUUGUGGAUUGAAACGGCGGCGAGUUUGUGGCCAAACAGCAGAAGCAAACAGGUGUUUAGAAAUCUGCUGCCUGGUGGCUCGCUGCCUAAUUUCCAUAACAUGGCGUAUUAACAUUUUUAAUGAAUAUUCAGCCUUUUUCUGCGAGCACCCGCUUGGUGGGUCUUGUUAAGUCAUUCAAAUGAAAUUAUAAAAAAUGCAGUGGAGUGUCCUACAUGUAGGCAGCAUAUGGUAUUGGGAAUACUGCUCAUUCAAGUGCUUGGCUGAUUUUUUGCGCCACUGCCAUCCAGCUGUCAAUCACACUUUUGCUCCCGUGAACGAGACCACCAGAUUCCAACGUUGAAACAAUUGCAGACAUUAAUAUUCAUGAGAGGCCGAUGAUUUUCACUGCCGCGCUGACUGCUGGGCUUGAGUGAAUGUCAGGAUAACUCCCAGUUUGACUUUGUUGUCCUGCCAGCUACUUCCGUUAAAGUUGCAUGCAGUUUUUUUAUGCUACUGUAAUUAAUCAGAGUUAAAUAUUUUUACUGCACCGGCACUGCCGGUGGAACAUAUGCUAUUUGUCAAAACAUGUUAGGCUCAUCUUUUGUCACUCCGAAAUAUUGCCGCCUGUUAGAGUAUCAGAUGGAAGGGUGUGGGUGGGAAUACUUGCUGACACAUGCCUGUUGGAAGUUCCAGUAUGGUAUGAUUUCCUUCUUGUGCACAUGGCGUGGCGUGAGGCCACCUGGUACAGCAAAUACAAGAAAUAAAAGCCACUGCGUUCAUGCAUCCCUCUGAACGGUGCAAUGGUACCCUGCAGCCUCGUUAAAACCCAAUGCAAGUUACUGCCAAGACGAGUUGACAUACACACACACAUACACACACUGGGAGCCUUCUCUCCUUCAUUGGUUUGUCUUGCAGAAGUUCACCAGUUACCAGUUCACCAGCUGGGAAACAGCUGGAGGGGCAGUUUGACUACCACGGACCCUCCCAUCUCCGCCCAAUACUGCCAUCUCUCUCCGCGAGGGUCUCCCCCGUAUCACAUGGGGAUCAUCCACGGGCUGCAGGGGAGUGAGGAAACCUCUCACUGCUAAGUCAUAUCGAGUGAUAUAAGGUGACGAUAGAGUGUAAUAGCAUCAAGGCCCCCAUAAAGCUGCAUUUUUGGUGAUUAACUUGACCUCAAGGGACACUUACCAUUAUCCAUAAUAGGAUUGAUUUUACACUCCAUCCAUCCAUUGUCAAACCGCUUAUCCUGCACACAGGGUCGCGGUGAUUUUACACUGAAAAGCCAAAUUAGUUAUUUAGAUAUAAUGUUAUUUAGAUUUAACUCAAUGUGGGCAUCAUAAUCUAAAAUUAAUCUAUCGAUUAAAAAAAGGGCCUCUAGGGAUGAUGAAACCAGGGCCAACCAUUGAGAAGUGGGUUUUCAGUGUUCGAGGACACUUCGACCGGAUUUGUGAAGGAAGUUGUGAAUACAGUGACCAUACAUCCAGGUUUAGUCCCAAUCGGCCUGGUUUCUAAGUCGGGUGUCUCGGUUUUUCAAGCUAAAACGCAGCGGUUUCAACACGAUUGCAAUGAUGAAAUGCUUUGAAGAUAAUUUUAGCACUUUUAGCACUUCCAUAGACAUUCCUCAUGCUCAGCCCCGCUCGUAAUUAUAUGAAGCUAUAAAAAAAAAAAAUCACCAAGUGUCUGAACACUGAUUUGUCCGUAACACCAUCAGCACACUAACGUCUAGCUGUUGUGCAGAGGAGAAAGUUGUUCUCCUCCAAAGAGCUUUACAGUAGUAAUUGUAUCAGGGAGCAGUUAGCGGC
ensembl:lncRNA